UGCUCACCAGCAGUCACAAGGUAAAGGCAUCUAAAUAAGCCUUCCUCUUUGGGAGAAGACAAGUAUUCAUCAAGGCAUCAUUAUCAUAACAAUACAACCUGAAAGGUGUGAUGGAUCUAGCGGAGUGACUGUGGGCACAUUGAUUCCUGGAUAUGGAAACAGUUUAACUUUAAUCUUGAGUAAAUGAAUGAGGAGAAAUGGAGAAAAGACUUUUGGUUUUCCGAUUUUUAUAUAAAAUUGGGGCUAAAGUUGGACCUGAGAAAAGUAAGGUAACAGAAUGGCUAACUUGUUUAACUUUGGAAAAACUGAAAUGACUAAUUAGAAUGUUUCCAAUCUAUGUGAUAUAUAUUUGAAAGAGCUA
rnacentral:lncRNA from 10 species